AGAAUGUUAGUUUAUUAAUGAAUAUAUAAUUGUAAAUUAUAAGGUUUGUUGUUCUG
rnacentral:tRNA from 1 species